rnacentral:misc_RNA from 1 species
UGGAGAACCAAAACAGUUGUAUGUUGAGUAUACUUAUGGUGGCAAGACAUUUGAGGUGGUUGUGGAUGAUUAUGAGGAGUUGCUAAUACCAAGGCCAUUACAGUGAAUCUAAUGCCAACAUUAAGAAUUCGCUUCCCUGGUUACCUCUAGCAAUUUUCAUACUUCAUCUGCUUGAGGUAAUUCAUCUUGGUAUAAUUACCCCUAUAAAUUGUCACAUUCACUUUGUAAUAAUUUCGUAUUUUAAAGGUUUCAAAGUAAG